AAUUGUUUAUUUCUAAAAAUUUCCACUUUAUGUUUUUGGACUGCAGAUAACUGUGGGCAACUGACAUUAUAGAAAAUAAAACUGUGCAGGGGGACCUGCAAUAUAAGAGCUGAAGUGCAUGGAUAUAUCCAACUGGAAAAUCUUGGUUGGCAUGAUGGGGAAAAUUGGAACCUAACAUCUAUCGCUUACCCUUGGUGGAGGUCACAGACUAGUUCUCUCAGUUCAAACCCUCUGAUCUGCUCAAAAGACCAGAGAACCCAUCCUUGAGGUUAUGAAGAGAUUCCCAGUGGACUUGGUAAAUGCACCAAGCUGGGAAAGGAUAUUAGGGACUGUUUUAUUCAAUGCUCUCAAUUUGCAGAGUUCAGAGAGGGUGAACCACUAACCCAUAGUCACACAGCAGUCUGUGGCUAAGCUGGGUUUGGGAUGGUGUUCUUUUCAUUCUGACAGUGGGCUAUUUCCUAACUGGAGGUAGAGUUGUGCUGUCAUCCCAAUUUGUAAAAAUGAACUGGAAACAGGAUCAUUGCCCCUCAGAUUGAUGACUCCCAUCUGAUGACAACCCAUGGCCAGGGGUCCUCAGGCCCUUCUAGAGGAAGAUCCAGCCGGCGCCCCUCCUCCUUUUCUUUCUCAGCCAUCUGAACCACUUUCUUGAGGAAGGGUGAAAAAUUACUAAAUCGAUCUUUUUAAAUUAACCCGGAUCUGAACCAGAGGCAUUUGGAAGAGGAGAACUUUUUCACCCCCGUGGCUGCCCACCCCCACCCCGGAUGAAGUGCUCCCUUGUUCCCGCGGCUCUGCCCCAGAUUCAUGGGCUGCUUUCCGAAUGGUUGGCAGUCUCCUCCGCACUGUCCUGACAACCCUCGGCCAUGAAAUUAAAAAGCUAGUCACCGCAUCUUGCUCCCCAUGGCCUGGUCCCUGCCAGCCCUGCGACGGAGAUGGGGAGAGGGAGCCUGGGCUUGGCCUGCAGUGGGCUGGGAUGCCUCCGGAAUGACAAUGGGAGCCAGGGAGGGGGACAUUAGCCAGGAAGGAACCACUGAAAGAAGACAGGGGAACGAAGAGUGGACUGUGGGCUUCCCCCCGAAGAGUUCCCGGGAGCUUCAGGCCAAUACCAGCUCCCAUUGCUGCCGGGCGCCUGCCCACACCAGCCCCUGGUGCAGGGGGAUGGCUGAGAGCUGGCACUGGAGGGAGGAAGGGCUCCAAACUGGGGCCAUCCCUGGGAGGCCAGCUGCCCUCUGCCCUGGCCCUCCUGAGCCCCCAGAUGCGGACACCAGCACUCAGGUCACACAAUGCCCCUUCCCCAGGAAUUUUAAGGAAUCCUCUAACCCAGAGGGAUUUUAGUCAUCCUUAAUUAAGAAGCUUCCUAGAAGACCACUGUGGUGGGGCUCACGGUGACACAGGUGUCCCUGAGCCCCAGGAGAAGUCUUGGUCUCCUUGCCCUGGGGUCCAGCCCUGGACUCUGGGACACACCCCAAGCGAGGUCAGCAGGUGCUUGAGGGCAAAGCCCCAGGAGAGGGCUUGGCUCCAGCUUUUGCUGACAUCAUGAGGCAGGUGGCAGGAGAGGCCUGGGCGCUCAGUCUCGGGACCAGCAGGGAGAAGUUGCAGCCGCAGCUCCGUGAGGGCUUGGCCGGGGCACUGCCCCCCCCUGCUUCCCCUCUGCAUCUGCCUCCUUGUCUUGAAAGCAAGAGUCGCCACGGUGGCCGCUCAGAGGUCGCUGGUGGCUUUAACAAGGCGGUGUGCGCGAAGUGCCGGUCGACGUCAGCGCUAGGUCCCCGUGAGUCUUGGGACAGUGUCCAGCAAUGGCUGGACAGGCCGGGCAGUGAGGGGACUGGGCUGCUGUGGGGACCUGCUAUGAACUGAGCACACGCCUUCUUCACUCAUGCAAAGGUCGGCCGGGUGCCUUCCACGUGCUGGGGCCGUGACAGCAAGCCCAAGGUGACACUGUCAGUUUGUGGUGCUUUCAAGGCAGUGACAAGCCAAUCUGUGAACAAACAAUCAGGCUCAAAGCCCCGUCAGGUAGUGAUAAGCAGGUGGUCGGGGCAGGCCUGGCUGGGGACCCAGGAGGUGACAGGAAGGUGCCAGCCACGCCCAGACACAGGAGAGGCACCCAGGGAGGCUGGGACAGCCCCAGGCAGAGGGAAUAACCUGGCCAGACUGGGAGGUCACUGCUGAUGGACAGCAGGAUGGGGCUGGCGGGGGGCCGGAGGAGGCCCUGCAGGACUUCGGGCUGCUUCCUGAGGGCUCUGGAUGCCACCGCCACCGGGGAGUCAUCUCACACUGUUAGGGGCGGGAGAGGUCUGGGUGAAGGAGCGGCUCACAGAGCAACCCAGAUGACGGAUUCCAACGUGACAGGUUCAGACUCCACAUGGCAAUGACCAGAAGUCACUUGUCAAGUUUUAGUGUUUACCCAAGAAGAAUGUCCAUGAUUCUCGAGAGGAUGUUAAAAUGCUUCUACCUUUUCCAGCUCCCUGUGUGUGUGAGACCAGCUCUUCUUCAUCCUGCCAGCAACGAAAUAAGGUGUCGAACCCGUCUGAAGGCGGCGGACGUGGGACUGCAGCUGGCUUUGAUGGAGCUCCUGGCUUUGAUGGAGCUCCACAUUCAAAGGACUUGGGAACACGCACCGCAGGCCACACUGCUCACAGGAGGUCUCCAUCCUGUAAAGUGGUUUAUUUUCGUGAAAAUGUGUUGUGUAUUAACAUAUAAUGGAUUUAUAAUUGUGAGUUUUGAAUGAAUGAAUACGUAUUUGUGUAAUCUUCAGUUUUAAUUUCCUUUUGGUCCUGGGGACUGAACUCAGGGGCACUGGACCACUGAGCCACAUCCCCAGCCCUAUUUUCUAUUGAAUUUAGAGACAGGGUCUCACUGAGUUGCUUAGUGCUGAGGCUGGCGUUCAAUUUGUGAUCCUCCUGCCUCAGCCUCCUGAGCCUCUGGGAUUACAGGAGUGUGCCCUUGUGCCCAGCCCGGUUUUUAAUUUCUUAUAUGAAAUUAAAAGAAGCUCUUUGGGGUCUUCAAUAAUGUUUAAGAGUGUAUAGGGGGCCUGAGAACAAAGAACUUGGUUGUCUCUGGCCCAGCUCAUGGCCUGGCACAUAGUAGGUGCUCACUAAGUAGAUGUGGUGUCCAGGCCUUUGGGGGGUGAUGACUGGCCCUGCGGCCUGGUUCUGGUGGGCCCACUUAUCAUUAUGCCCACUUAUGAUUAUGCUAAUGAAAUACAUUUAUAAGGAAAAAAAAUUUAUUGAGCUCAUAGUUUUGGAAGCUAAAAAUCCCAAAGCCCAAGGUCCCAAGGGGGAUGGCAAGAGCACCUGAGGAGAUCAAAUCUCAAAAAGAGGAAGCCCGAGAGACUGCACCCUCUAUGCCCUUGAGGACACCCAGCGACCUACAGACCUCCCACCUGGCCACGCCUCUUCAGAGCCCCACCACUUCCACUGCACACCCAGGACCAGUCGUCCAUUGGCACUUCUUUGGGUAGACAGAUGUCCAGAUCACAGCCGCCUGCUCCCGUGCUCCUGGAAGGACCAUGUCUGGGUGCCUGGUCACCUGCUCCUGGGUGUCUGCGUGGGGCUGACCUGGUGACCUUGGCUGUCCUUGGAGCUGAAUUCUCUGUAGCGGUUAUGCUAAGCGGGAUUGCCCGAGGGUUGCCCGUGAGCCCUCUCCCCCACCCCAGGUCACCUCUGCAGACUGUGGCUGGGAUCCCAUGCGCUUUCUGCCUGGUGGCUGGGUCCAGGCCACACUGGGAAGCCUGUGGAAUUGCUGAGACAGUAAUUUGCAAUUAAAUUUCAGAAAUGUUAGGGGUCAUGUCUGGGGCAGAUGUGGGCUAUUUUUAAAGAUGGGCCCUUUCAGAAGGGAGCAAAGGUGGCCCUCUCACCCCUCUGGCCUUUUUCGGCCGGGCCCAGGAGGGCCACCUGCCGGGGGGCGGCAAGGGAAAUGCUGAUCUUGCUCUUCUUGCUCAAAGGCAGACAGAGGUGAGGGAGCAGAGCCAAUCUAAUCUCCCCCCUCCUUCCUUUCUCGGUCCCCCAGAUCC
rnacentral:lncRNA from 1 species